rnacentral:rRNA from 1 species
GACGGGGCCGCACAAGCGGUGGAGUAUGUGGUUUAAUUCGAUGCAACGCGAAGAACUUUACCUGGUCUUGACAUCCCGGAGACCCUUAGGAAACUAGGGGGUGCUUCCAUCUGGAAGAAUCUGGAGACAGGUGCUGCAUGGCUGUCGUCAGCUCGUGUCGUGAGAUGUUGGGUUAAGUCCCGCAACGAGCGCAACCCUUGCCUUAGUUGCCAGCAGUUCGGCUGGGCACUCUAAAGGGACUGCCGGUGUUAAACCGGAGGAAGGUGGGGAUGACGUCAAGUCCUCAUGGCCUUUAUGACCAGGGCUACACACGUACUACAAUGGCCGAUACAAAGAGCAGCGACACUGCGAGGUGAAGCCAAUCCCGUAAAAUCGGUCUCAGUCCGGAUUGGAGUCUGCAACUCGACUCCAUGAAGUUGGAAUCGCUAGUAAUCGUGGAUCAGCAUGCCACGGUGAAUACGUUCCCGGGCCUU